UACAGAGGUCUCAAGCGUUGUUCGGAUUCAUUGGGCGUAAAGGGCGCGUAGGUGGCGCCGCAAGUCCAUGGUGAAAGCUCGAUGCUCAACAUCGAGUCGGCCACGGAGACUGCGGGGCUCGAGCACUGUAGGGGCAGAUGGAAUUCCGGGUGUAGCGGUGGAAUGCGUAGAGAUCUGGAAGAACACCGGUGGCGAAGGCGGUCUGCUGGGCCGAUACUGACGCUGAGGAGCGAAAGCGUGGGGAGCGAACAGG
rnacentral:rRNA from 1 species